GGGGCUAUAGCUCAGUUGGUAGAGCGUCUCGUUCGCAAUGAGAAGGUCAGCGGUUCGACUCCGCUUAGCUCCACCA
rnacentral:tRNA from 2 species